rnacentral:lncRNA from 1 species
AAGGAGAAUCAACCACGCGGUCUGAAACUACAACCUUCUCUACCCUGUCUCCCAGUACAUCCUUGAUAACCUUGCAAAGACCCUCAAAUUUCUCUUUCUGUUCUUCCUUCCUUUUCUUUUCAUCUUCACUCUCAUCAAUUUUCAAACCCUCCUUGGUUGCAGAGACAAGCUUCUUCCCCUCAAACUCCUUGAGCUGACCAACUGCAUACUCAUCAAUAGCAUCAACCAUGAAAAGGACUUCAUAUCCCUUCUUCUUCAGCUUCUCAAGGAAUGGGGAGUUCUCAACAGCCUUCUUGCUCUCACCAGUAAUGUAAUAGAUAUCACUCUGACCUUCCUUCAUUCUAGUGACAUAGUCCUUGAGACUCGUCAAUUCAUCGCCACUCUUGGUGGAGUGGUAUCGGAGCAGCUCAGCAAGCUUUGUCUUGUUAGUGGAGUCCUCAUGGAUACCCAACUUGAGAUUCUUAGAGAAUGACUCAUAGAAUUUGUUAUAAUCUUCCUUGUUCUCAGCAAUCUCAAAGAAAAGCUCAAUGCACUUCUUCACUAAGUUCUUGCGGAUAACUUUGAGAAUCUUGUUCUGCUGCAACAUCUCUCUUGAAAUGUUCAAAGGAAGAUCCUCAGAAUCAACAAUACCCUUUACAAAUCCAAGAUACUCAGG